CUACGGGGUGCUCCAGUGGGGAAUAUUGCACAAUGGGCGCAAGCCUGAUGCAGCAACGCCGCGUGGGGGACGACGGCCUUCGGGUUGUAAACCUCUUUUAGUAGGGAAGAAGCGCAAGUGACGGUACCUACAGAAAAAGCACCGGCUAACUACGUGCCAGCAGCCGCGGUAAUACGUAGGGUGCAAGCGUUGUCCGGAAUUAUUGGGCGUAAAGAGCUCGUAGGCGGUUUGUCGCGUCUGCUGUGAAAAUCCGAGGCUCAACCUCGGACCUGCAGUGGGUACGGGCAAACUAGAGUGCGGUAGGGGGGAUUGGAAUUCCUGGUGUAGCGGUGGAAUGCGCAGAUAUCAGGAGGAACACCAAUGGCGAAGGCAGAUCUCUGGGCCGUAACUGACGCUGAGGAGCGGAAGCGUGGGGAGCGAACAGGAUUAGAUACCCCCGUAGUC
rnacentral:rRNA from 1 species